rnacentral:tRNA from 1 species
UUCUUGUAGCUCAGUGGUAGAGUACUUGAUUAGUAUGGGAGAGGCCCUGGCUUUGAUCCCCAGCACAGGAAA